rnacentral:rRNA from 1 species
GUCAGGUCAGUAUUGCCCUUACACCUGGGGCUACAAACACGCUACAAUGGCCGGUACAAAGGGCUGCCAAGUCGCGAGACGGAGCAAAUCCCAUCAAAGCCGGUCUCAGUUCGGAUAGCAGGCUGAAAUUCGCCUGCUUGAAGCUGGAAUCGCUAGUAACGGUAGGUCAGCACACUACCGUGGAUACGUUCCCGGGUCUU